CUAAGGAUGAUCCUUCAGUUCAGCUUCGGCUAACUAUCGGAUCGUUUUAGAAACAUCAGGGGCCAAUCGAUCGCCAGAUCAUUGAGCUCCAUUGGCGGGAUUUCGCCGUCUUCGUUUCUCUUUCUUCGCGGACGAACACGCGCCAGGGGCUACAGCGCUGCGCGAUGCAUCGGCGCUAAGCCGAUUGCGCGCGAGCAUGCCUCUGAUCCUCAACUGAGGACAGCGUUAGGGGCUUGUAGCUCAGUUGGUUAGAGCGCGCGCUUGAUAAGCGUGAGGUCGGAAGUUCAAGUCUUCCCAGGCCCACCAGCCUUUGCGCUUCGCAGCUUCGGCUAGGCAAGCCCUUUGAGACGAUGGCUGCUCCGCCGUAGCCUUGGCGUAGGCGAGCGCAGUAAGAGCAUUCGUCUUCUGGUUACGGGGCCAUAGCUCAGCUGGGAGAGCGCGUGCUUUGCAAGCAUGAGGUCGUCGGUUCGAUCCCGUCUGGCUCCACCAGCCUUCGCUGGCUGCGCCAGCUACGGCUCGGCGAGCCGCUCGAUACGAAGGCUGCCAUGGCGUAGCUCGAGAGCGAAGACGGGCUGAAAAUCGGCCAAGUAUAUCGUCCGCGAAACAUCAAUUCGCAUGCGUGAUCCUCACCAGGAUGCGUCAUGCGUGUUUUCUGACAUCGUAAAGAGGAGAUCGAUCCGAGUUUGGAUCAAGCGAAGCAAUUCGCCUGACCCAAUCACUAUCUCCGGGAUCAUUUCGGCGCUCGCUUCAGUCGUGAGAUUGAAUGCGGGUUGUAAAUGGUCCUUGUUAGCGAAGCCUGACCGCCUCGCUAUCGGUUCGAUCUUACGAAGCAAGCUGGUCUUUCUAGUCAAUGUCCGGCUGUGACAAUCGCAUUCGUCGAGGGUGCGCGCCUUGAGUGGCAGUUGCGCAGACAACAUUCUGCCGAGUGUGUGGACAUUGAUAAUGAGAGC
rnacentral:tRNA from 1 species